rnacentral:rRNA from 1 species
CCCUAAAAGCUCUCCUACAUAGGUUGUUUUAAAUUUUUAAAAAGGUUAGCUGGGGUAGUUGUUUUACUUUAACUAAAAUUUUUCAAAACUCUAGGUUUUAGGUCCUUAAAAUUAGGAAAAUUAGUCAUAGUUACUUUAGGGAUAACAGCGUAAUAAUUUUGAAGAGACCUUAUCAAUAAAAUUGAUUACGACCUCGAUGUUGAAUUAAAUUUAACUACAUCGCAAAAG